CCUACGGGAGGCAGCAGUGGGGAAUCUUGCGCAAUGGGCGAAAGCCUGACGCAGCCAUGCCGCGUGAAUGAUGAAGGUCUUAGGAUUGUAAAAUUCUUUCACCGGGGACGAUAAUGACGGUACCCGGAGAAGAAGCCCCGGCUAACUUCGUGCCAGCAGCCGCGGUAAUACGAAGGGGGCUAGCGUUGCUCGGAAUUACUGGGCGUAAAGGGAGCGUAGGCGGAUAGUUUAGUCAGAGGUGAAAGCCCAGGGCUCAACCUUGGAAUUGCCUUUGAUACUGGCUAUCUUGAGUGUGGGAGAGGUAUGUGGAACUCCGAGUGUAGAGGUGAAAUUCGUAGAUAUUCGGAAGAACACCAGUGGCGAAGGCGACAUACUGGCCCAUUACUGACGCUGAGGCUCGAAAGCGUGGGGAGCAAACAGGAUUAGAUACCCUGGUAGUCCACGCUGUAAACGAUGAGUGCUAGUUGUCGGCAGCAUGCUGUCGGUGACGCAGCUACGCAUAAGCACNCCGCCGUCGGGAGGUACGGUCGCGAGAAGUUAAACGUACGAAAGUUAAGUUAGUACGGCGUUGAGACGNGCCGACGGACGACGACGAGGGAGGAGG
rnacentral:rRNA from 1 species